rnacentral:rRNA from 1 species
UGGGGGAUAUUGCACAAUGGGCGAAAGCCUGAUGCAGCGACGCCGCGUGGGGGAUGAAGGCCUUCGGGUUGUAAACUUCUUUUGCUCUGAACAAGGCGCACCAUGGGGUGUGUUGAGUGUAGGGGUUGAUUAGCGCCGGCUAACUACGUGCCAGCAGCCGCGGUAAUACGUAGGGCGCGAGCGUUGUCCGGAAUUAUUGGGCGUAAAGGGCUUGUAGGUGGCUGGUUGCGUCUGUCGUGAAAGCUCAUGGCUUAACUGUGGGUUUGCGGUGGGUACGGGCUGGAUUGAGUGCAGUAGGGGAGGCUGGAAUUCCUGGUGUAGCGGUGGAAUGCGCAGAUAUCAGGAGGAAUACCGGUGGCGAAGGCGGGUCUCUGGGCUGUUACUGACACUGAGGAGCGAAAGCAUGGGGAGCGAACAGG